rnacentral:rRNA from 1 species
UACGGGGGGGGCAAGCGUUGUUCGGAAUUACUGGGCGUAAAGGGCUCGUAGGCGGCCAACUAAGUCAGACGUGAAAUCCCUCGGCUUAACCGGGGAACUGCGUCUGAUACUGGAUGGCUUGAGUUUGGGAGAGGGAUGCGGAACUCCAGGUGUAGCGGUGAAAUGCGUAGAUAUCUGGAGGAACACCGGUGGCGAAGGCGGCAUCCUGGACCAACACUGACACUGAGGAGCGAAAGCCAGGGGAGCAAACGGG